ACACGGGCCGAUUUUUUGUCCCAGUCCAGCCCUGGAUGCAUCUGGAGACGGUCCUAUUAAGUCCUAUUCUAAAGGCUGAUUGCCCUCCCCCACGCUUGUACCUGUGGCUUUCUGUCCUGGGGGUGGGGGCUGGUUGUUCUCCUGCCCUGCAGCCAAUCCUUUUGUUCAUAUUCAAAGACCGUUUUUCUGUAUGUAUUCUUACCCCCUAAAACCCGUCGUAUUGUAAUGUUGCAAGCAAUCACAAACUCUACAGUCUGUCUAACUCCAAUGUAUACCAAGCAAUCUAUUAUUAUCAACAGAGCUAAAAGCUUACCUUUAGAUGAGCCCACAAACCGAGAGAAACUCCGUGAUGAAGCUGGAAGUCUUAACAAACAGAUCAGGGAGCAGAGACCCACGUGGUUCACGCUGAUCUGAGCUAAGAUCCAGGAAAUAAGGGUGUUCAGAUCGAUGCAGAAAUUGAUCCCAACGUUGGUAGUGGUAUAUGUUCCUGUAAGUUUACUACUUUACUCCAGUUUCAUGAAAAAGUAACUCUCUCUGCUCGACACCUCUCCUGCACACACACACAAUUUCUCCGCCCCUUUUUCCCGACUCUGCCGUGAUUUGUUACUCGGUUUGGUCACAUGACUCACUUGCGCAACGUAACCACGCGGGACCCGAUUUUUUUUUUUUUUAAUUAAACUUUAUUUACAAACAACAGUUUAACAUACAAGGCACCAUCAUUAAUCCGAUUAUGUUACAUCCUCGGUUGAGCAUUAUAGCAAAACAAACAAACAAACAAAACGAACAAAAAAAAAACCAAAAACAACAACAAUAAGCACAAAGUUAAAAGAGUUAGCACAAAAAUAAAGAACAGUCAUUGAAGGAUUCGAACCAAAGGCAAAAACUAACGUGCAAAAAAAGGGCAGUCGUGAUUAUAAAAUAGGGAGUUUUUUGUUUUUUUUAACAUAGGUUAAACUCUUUAAAUAAAACAACAAGUUUAUGGGCUUUCUUGUUAUUCACAAGUUUCAGCGAUUUAGCCCAGAGUUUAAAGUCAUUCAGCCAUCUGUUUAUACAUGGUUUAGCUUUAAAGUAUCUGCAUUUGUGAAUAAAAAAUUUUCCCAUUAACAAAAUCGUCCUAAUCAACAGGUCAAAAUCUGCAUUCUCAGCAAGUAUUCCAAAUUUUAUUACUGUC
ensembl:lncRNA